UUUGCAUCAAGUUUAAAUUUGGUAUUUUGGCUCAUUAGAACUAGGCUUGCUAGUAUAAGUGAAAUAUAUCAUUGAGUGUGCAAAUAGUGUAUUGAUUUGUAUUUCACUUUAUCUCUAAUCCAUUAGCUUAACGCAUAUCCGGUUUUCCAAUAACGGUUCGUUUUAGACUAAAAUUUUCCUCGGCUGCUUCCGCACUUAAA
rnacentral:lncRNA from 1 species